CAAGUGUUCAAAUCUCACCCAAAGGCAUCCCAAUGUGUGUGUAGGAGAGGCUCAGCCUGUCAACUGAUCCCAGGAGUCAGGAGGUCCUCAGGAUGGUGCAUUCCCUCAUGAUGGUAUCUCCCCUAACAAUAGUAUCUUCCCUAACUUCCCCUCUCUCUUAGGCCAAUUUAUAUUAUUUUCUAUCUUUUAGGUUGCGCUUGAGUGACUCUUGUCAAGCAUAUCUUAGUUAUGAUUGCUGAAAAGUUUUCCCGUCUCUGUUUAAAGGUAUAGGCCCUGAGAAAUUCAGAGUGCGUGCUCAGUGAGGGGUGGUCGCAUCUUGGAGGCAGGUAGCUUUUGGGAUGGAGGUGUGUUUUGGUAUUAUAAUGAUAUUAAAAUGAGC